rnacentral:rRNA from 1 species
GACGAACGCUGGCGGCGUGCUUAACACAUGCAAGUCGAACGGUGACGGGGAGCUUGCUCCCCUGAUCAGUGGCGAACGGGUGAGUAACACGUGGCAACCUGCCCCUGACUCUGGGAUAACGCUUCGAAAGAGGUGCUAAUACCGGAUACGAACUCCCUUGGCAUCUUGGGAGUUGGAAAGUUUUUCGGUCAGGGAUGGGCCCGCGGCCUAUCGGCUUGUUGGUGAGGUAACGGCUCACCAAGGCGACGACGGGUAGCCGGCCUGAGAGGGCGACCGGCCACACUGGGACUGAGACACGGCCCAGACUCCUACGGGAGGCAGCAGUGGGGAAUAUUGCGCAAUGGGCGAAAGCCUGACGCAGCAACGCCGCGUGAGGGAUGACGGCCUUCGGGUUGUAAACCUCUUUCAGCAGGGAAGAAGCGAAAGUGACGGUACCUGCAGAAGAAGCACCGGCUAACUACGUGCCAGCCGCCGCGGUAAAAC